GCCAGGUAUGGUGGUGCGUGCCUGUAGUUCUAGCUACUCGAGAGGCUGAGGCAGGAGGAUUGCUUGAGCCCAGGAGUUCAAGGCUACAGUGAGCUAUGAUUGUGCCACUGCACUCCAGCCUGGGCAACAGAGUGAGACCCUGUUUCUG
rfam:Pan troglodytes isolate Yerkes chimp pedigree #C0471 (Clint) chromosome 14, whole genome shotgun sequence.